AUAACGGUCCUAAGGUAGCGAAAUUCCUUGUCGGGUAAGUUCCGACCCGCACGAAUGGUGUAACGAUCUGGGCACUGUCUCAACUACCCACCCGGCGAAAUUGUAGUACCGGUGAAGAUGCCGGUUACCUGCGGCAAGACGGAAAGACCCCGUGAACCUUUACUAUAGCUUGACACUGAACAUUGAGCCUUGAUGUGUAGGAUAGGUGGGAGGCUUUGAAGUGUGGACGCCAGUCUGCAUGGAGCCGACCUUGAAAUACCACCCUUUAAUGUUUGAUGUUCUAACGUUGGCCCGUAAUCCGGGUUGCGGACAGUGUCUGGUGGGUAGUUUGACUGGGGCGGUCUCCUCCUAAAGAGUAACGGAGGAGCACGAAGGUUGGCUAAUCCUGGUCGGACAUCAGGAGGUUAGUGCAAUGGCAUAAGCCAGCUUGACUGCGAGCGUGACGGCGCGAGCAGGUGCGAAAGCAGGUCAUAGUGAUCCGGUGGUUCUGAAUGGAAGGGCCAUCGCUCAACGGAUAAAAGGUACUCUGGGGAUAACAGGCUGAUACCGCCCAAGAGUUCAUAUCGACGGCGGUGUUUGGCACCUCGAUGUCGGCUCAUCGCAUCCUGGGGCUGUAGUCGGUCCCAAGGGUAUGGCUGUUCGCCAUUUAAAGUGGUACGCGAGCUGGGUUUAGAACGUCGUGAGACAGUUCGGUCCCUAUCUGCCGUGGGCGUUGGAAGAUUGACGGGGGCUGCUCCUAGUACGAGAGGACCGGAGUGGACGCAUCACUGGUGUUCGGGUUGUCAUGCCAAUGGCACUGCCCGGUAGCUAAAUGCGGAAGAGAUAAGUGCUGAAAGCAUCUAAGCACGAAACUUGCCCCGAGAUGAGUUCUCCCUGACUCCUUGAGGGUCCUGAAGGAACGUUGAAGACGACGACGUUGAUAGGCCGGGUGUGUAAGCGCAGCGAUGCGUUGAGCUAACCGGUACUAAUGAACCGUGAGGCUUAACCUU
rnacentral:rRNA from 1 species